CACCUUGCUCUCCUCCCCCUGACGCCUUCUCCUUUCGACUUCCACUUUCAAUUGCCGGACGAACAGACCGAUGGAACCACACCCAGUUCACCAACUCAACCACCUUACCGCAUUACGUAUGAACUCCUUUUAGCUGGCAUUCGAGCUAUUGUACCGGCCACCCUCUGCAGCUUGGGAGUUGGCAUUUCCUAGUUGCGCGGUCGGUCAAAAGCCUUCCUGGAAUUAAGUUACAGCAAGUGCGAUGCCCAGUCCCACUCCCACUCCCCCUCUUGAGCAACCCCCUUUACUGGGGAACAGGAACAUCGAACAGCGACCAUGUGGCAACUGGCCGACCAUAAUGCAACAUGACAUGCGCCGCAUGUGCAGCAACACAGCCACAGAGUCUCGGGCCGAGUUGCAAAUAUGAGUUCAUUAUUUAAACGUUGACCAAAAAACAAAUUGACAAGUAAAUGCGGCACAUGGUCGGCUCGUUUUGGCGUUUUCUUUGGCCAUACACAGGCAGAAAAUUUCAUUUGGUACUAAUCGAACGUAAAUAGGCUACUGUAUGUGAGAAAUCAAACUAAAAGUAAGAGCAUUUUGCAAAU
ensembl:ncRNA lncRNA:CR45353 long non-coding RNA:CR45353